rnacentral:rRNA from 1 species
CCUACGCGGGGCAGCAGUGGGGAAUAUUGCACAAUGGGGGAAACCCUGAUGCAGCGACGCCGCGUGAGUGAAGAAGUAUUUAGGUAUGUAAAGCGCUAUCAGCAGGGAAGAAGAAAGACGGGACCUGACUAAGAAGCCCCGGCUAACUACGUGCCAGCAGCAGCGGUAAAAGGUAGGGGGCAAGCUUUAUACGGAUUUACUGGGUGUAAAGGGAGCGUAGACGGAGAAGCGAGUCUGAAGUGAAAGCCCGUGGCUUAACCACGGGACUGCUUUGGAAACUGUUUGACUAGAGGGCUGGAGAGGUAAGUGGAAUUCCUAGUGUAGCGGUGAAAUGCGUAGAUAUUAGGAGGAACACCAGUGGCGAAGGCGGCUUACUGGACAGUAACUGACGUUGAGGCUCGAAAGCGUGGGGAGCAAACAGGAUUAGAUACCCUAGUAGUC